GUUGGGAAUCUUGGACAAUGGGGGAAACCCUGAUCCAGCCAUGCCGCGUGAGUGAUGAAGGCCUUCGGGUUGUAAAACUCUUUCGACGGGGACGAUAAUGACGGUACCCGUAGAAGAAGCUCCGGCUAACUUCGUGCCAGCAGCCGCGGUAAUACGAAGGGGGCUAGCGGUGUUCGGAAUUACUGGGCGUAAAGCGCGCGCAGGCGGCUAUCCAAGUCAGUGGUGAAAGCCCGGAGCUCAACUCCGGAACUGCCAUUGAAACUGUUUAGCUUGAGGACGAGAGAGGUGAGUGGAAUUCCCAGUGUAGAGGUGAAAUUCGUAGAUAUUGGGAAGAACACCGGUGGCGAAGGCGGCUCACUGGCUCGUAUCUGACGCUCAGGCGCGAUAGCGUGGGGAUCAAACAGGAUUAGAAACCCGAGUAGUCC
rnacentral:rRNA from 1 species